CUCAGCCUACCCGUACAUCCGAACUUGUGUUUCACGUUUGAACACCACUCGCAAGUUCGAGUUUUCGGGUAGGCCGCGC
rnacentral:pre_miRNA from 13 species